rnacentral:misc_RNA from 1 species
CCUUACUUUUUUCGCUUUUAGAUUUGUUUCCAUUAUUCAGAUUAUGCCGGGGAAGGUUUUCCGGUUUAUCCCGGAGGGCUUGUAGCUCAGUUGGUUAGAGCGCGCGCUUGAUAAGCGUGAGGUCGGAGGUUCAAGUCCUCCCAGGCCCACCAAUUCAAUUAGGGAGUGAUAAAGCGCUUAUUGUACGAUGCAGAUAACAUGUACGAUUUAUCAAAUAUGCCGAGAUUAUUUUGUCUCAGAUUGAGAUUUAUCACUUUAUAAAUUUAGGGUUUGUCUGUUAGUGCUUUGUAA